UGCGUAGGCGGCCUGGCAAGUCAGGUGUGAAAUCCCUCGGCUCAACCGAGGAACUGCACUUGAAACUGCUAGGCUUGAGUAUCGGAGGGGGCAGCGGAAUUCCCGGUGUAGAGGUGAAAUUCGUAGAUAUCGGGAGGAACACCAGUGGCGAAGGCGGCUGCCUGGCCGAAUACUGACGCUGAAGCGCGAAAGCGUGGGGAGCAAACAGGAUUAGAUACCCUGGUAGUCC
rnacentral:rRNA from 1 species